GAUGAACGCUAGCGGGAGGCUUAACACAUGCAGGUCGAGGGGUAUUGUAGCAAUACAUUAGACCGGCGCACGGGUGAGUAACGCGUAUGCAACCUGCCGUUAACCGGGUGAUAGCCCGUCGAAAGGCGGAUUAAUACCCCAUAAUAUUGGGAUUCUGCAUGGGAUUUCAAUUAAAGCUGAGGUGUUUAACGAUGGGCAUGCGUGACAUUAGCUAGUUGGUAGGGUAACGGCCUACCAAGGCUACGAUUUAUAGGGGUUCUGAGAGGAAGGUCCCCCACACUGGUACUGAGACACGGACCAGACUCCUACGGGAGGCAGCAGUGAGGAAUAUUGGUCAAUGGGCGAGAGCCUGAACCAGCCAUCCCGCGUGCAGGAAGACGGCCCUAUGGGUUGUAAACUGCUUUUGCGCAUGAAGAAUGUUACCGACGUGUCGGUAAGUGACGGUAAUGCGUGAAUAAGCAUCGGCUAACUCCGUGCCAGCAGCCGCGGUAACAC
rnacentral:rRNA from 1 species